rnacentral:rRNA from 1 species
AUACGGAGGAUGCGAGCGUUAUCCGGAUUUAUUGGGUUUAAAGGGAGCGUAGGUGGGAUAUUAAGUCAGCUGUGAAAGUUUGGGGCUCAACCUUAAAAUUGCAGUUGAUACUGGUUUCCUUGAGUACGGUACAGGUGGGCGGAAUUCGUGGUGUAGCGGUGAAAUGCUUAGAUAUCACGAAGAACUCCGAUCGCGAAGGCAGCUCACCGGGCCGGAACUGACACUGAUGCUCGAAAGUGCGGGUAUCAAACAGGAUUAGAUACCCUGGUAGUCCGCACCGUAAACGAUGGACACUCGUGGUUGGCCCUUGUGGUCAGUCACCCAGCGAAAGCGUUAAGUGUCCCACCUGGGGAGUACGCCGGCAACGGUGAAACUCAAAUGAAUUGACGGGG